rnacentral:rRNA from 1 species
GUGAAGGCUCAAAUAUCCUAAAGGCACCAGAUCCCGUCUGUUCUUGGAAGCUAAGUGGGGCCACCCUGUUUAUUACUUGGAUGGGAGAUUGCCAGUGAAUUCCAGGUGCUGUAGACU